GAUGAACGCUGGCGGCGUGCCUAAUACAUGCAAGUCGAGCGAACAGACGAGGAGCUUGCUCCUCUGACGUUAGCGGCGGACGGGUGAGUAACACGUGGAUAACCUACCUAUAAGACUGGGAUAACUUCGGGAAACCGGAGCUAAUACCGGAUAAUAUAUUGAACCGCAUGGUUCAAUAGUGAAAGACGGUUUUGCUGUCACUUAUAGAUGGAUCCGCGCCGCAUUAGCUAGUUGGUAAGGUAACGGCUUACCAAGGCAACGAUGCGUAGCCGACCUGAGAGGGGGAUCGGCCACCCGGGAAGUGAGACACGGUCCAGACUCCUACGGGAGGCAGCAGUAGGGAAUCUUCCGCAAUGGGCGAAAGCCUGACGGAGCAACGCCGCGUGAGUGAUGAAGGUCUUCGGAUCGUAAAACUCUGUUAUUAGGGAAGAACAAAUGUGUAAGUAACUGUGCACGUCUUGACGGUACCUAAUCAGAAAGCCACGGCUAACUACGUG
rnacentral:rRNA from 1 species